rnacentral:lncRNA from 1 species
AUGGAGUUCCCGGAGUGCGUGCCAUGCUCUUUCUUCUUUCUCCACUCAAACCAAUCUGGGCUCAUCUUUAGGAUCUCGCUCUUCUCUCUGGGCCUCAGUUUUCUUAUCUUUAAAAUUAGAAGGGCUAUCUGGGCUGGCAUAGGCGAAGCCCUCUCUUGCCUUGGCCACAUCCCAUGCCAGAAUAGUCACCAUAGCCCAUCAGUGACCCCACGGCCACCUCCCAUGCCAGGACAGAUACCACCAGCCCAUCAGCGACCCCACGGCCACCUCCCAUGCCAGGACAGAUACCACCAGCCCGUCAGCGACCCCAUGGCCACCUCCCAUGCCAAAACAGACACUAUCAGUCUGUCAACAACCCCAUGGCCACCUCCACGCAAGGACAGAGACCACCAGCCCAUCAAUGACCCAACAGCCACCUCUCACACCAGGGCAGACUCCAUCAGCCUGUCAGCAACUCCUCUUCAUGGAGGACAGACUCAGCCUCAUGACCACCCUCUACAGAGCUCCAAGCUGGUGUGGAGACAACUCCUAUUGGCCAUGAAGACACCAGGCCAUUCACUCAUUCAUUCACUCAUUCAUUCACUCAUCCAUUCUCUCAUCCAUUCACUCAUCCAUUCACUCAUCCAUUCACUCAUCCAUUUACUCAUCCGUUCACUUCCAUCCAUUUCCUCACCAUCCGCUCACUUCCGUCCGCUUUCAUCCGCUUCACUUCCAUCCGUUUCUUCAUCCGCUUCACUCCAUCCGUCACUCCAUCCGCUUCAUCCGCUUCACUCAUCCGUUCACUCAUCCGUUCACUCAUCCGUUCUCUCAUCCAUUCACUCAUCCACUCACUCAUUCACUCAUCCACUCACUCAUCCAUUCACUCACCCGUUCACUCACCUGUUCACUCAUUCACUCAUCCAUUCACUCAUUCAUUCACUCAUCCAUUCACUCAUCCAUUCACUUAUUCAUUGGCACAACCACUUUUCUGACGCCUUUACUGUAUGCUCAGUUCUGCGGGGGCUUUAG